GACGAGGGGUCCUAGCGUUGUUCGGAAUCAUUGGGCGUAAAGCGCACGUAGGCGGACCGCUAAGUCGGAUGUGAAAGCCCUCGGCUUAACCGAGGAAGUGCAUUCGAAACUGACAGUCUUGAGUAUGGAAGAGGGUCGCGGAAUUCCCGGUGUAGAGGUGAAAUUCGUAGAUAUCGGGAGGAACACCAGUGGCGAAGGCGGCGACCUGGGCCAAUACUGACGCUGAGGUGCGAAAGCGUGGGGAGCAAACAGG
rnacentral:rRNA from 1 species